UGAGUAAUACAUCGGAACGUGUCCUGUAGUGGGGGAUAGCCCGGCGAAAGCCGGAUUAAUACCGCAUACGAUCUACGGAAGAAAGCGGGGGAUCCUUCGAGACCUCGCUCUAUAGGGGCGGCCUAUGGCAUAUUAUCUUUUUGGUGGGGUAAAGGCCUACCAGGGCCACUAUCUGUAGCUGGUCAGAGAAGACCACCCCCCACACUGGGACAGACACACGGCCCACACUCCUACGGGAGGCAGCAGUGGGGAUUUUUGGACAAUGGGGGCCACCCUGAUCCAGCAGUGCCGCGUGUGUAAAGAGCGCCUUCGGGUUGUAAAGCUUUUUUGUCCGGAAAGAACACCCUCCCCCUAAUAUGGUGGUGGGAUGACUGUACCGGAAGAAUAAGCACCGGCUAUCUACGUGCCAGCAGCCGC
rnacentral:rRNA from 1 species